GGCUCUGAACAAAGCCCGCAAUAUAUCCCUUUUAAGUGCUGUGUACGCAUUUUUUUAACGCCAAGCUAGUGCAUCAACACCAAAGGAUUGAUAUACGGACGUUAACCUUUUUAUUGGGAGAACUUGUUGCGAGCAAACUAAGCACCACCCCAACGCAUGAACAUCCCUGCGAGCACAGUGGUCGGUCGUAGAAAUCUGAUCCGUAGUAGGAUUUGCUGUAUGUAGUAUGGUACUGUAAUUGCCAUUACUGACUGUUUUGUGCAAAAUAGCCUUGAACCGUUGUCAAGUUGUCCCUACGAAGAGCAGCUUUACUUACAGCUUCCUUAAUCAUUGUCA